UGACAGGGCACACCUGCGAGGUGGAUGGAGUAUCUCAGCUCAAGAGAAGCACUCACUAAGACAGAUUUAGGCAUAUUUGUGACUACUGUUGAGAGAAAUGGGCCCUGUGAGUUUUUAUAUGCAGUAUAUCGGAUGGAAGAGUGUGUAAAGAUACCUGCAGAAGACAGCUUUUCUAGAGACAUGUUGGAUUUUCUAUGACAUGUUUUUUUUCCUCCCUACUGUUUGACUAAACACCUACAUCUUCUGAGUGUGGUAGACCUGCAGGGUGCUUGGUUUCGGUCCACGGGGCAGGUGAUAAUGACUUCCCUCCCCUCCCCACUCCUCCUCAUCUCAAGCUGCAGCGGUGAAGUUGCAGGGACAACUGUAUCUUUGCUGUGUCAUCACGCUCGCACGGGACCCGCAGUAGAGUGCCGGAGCUGCGUGGCGGCCAAUGGUGGCAGUGGUCACCCUUGGUCACUCUCCGGCCAACCCACUGGCCAACUAGACAUUUCAGGAUGUCCUGUCUGGGAGGACAAAGCAGACAUGAAACAAGGAAAAGAGAUAUACCGGCUGCACACUGCUGAGCUCUUUCACGGCAAAUGAGGAACGGAUUCCUGUUGACACAACUUUCGGUGUGAAACGCGUUUUUCUUGUUUACAUUCCAGACUACAUUUACAUUCAUCAGGUGACACUUUUGUCUGAAUGGCAUCAUUUUACUACACGACCACCCCAAUCGAAGGCCCAGCCCCCUCCCUCAAAUAUCUGCUCUGGAAGGGCUCGCAAUUGAUUCAUACUGCCGGGACUAUAGAUUAGCACUGACCCAAAAACACAAACUGGAAAACAGUCCUCCUGAGUGAAUUGAGCUUCCGGCAACAACAUCGUGUGCUAAUCGUACCCCCCCAGGGAAGACAGGGAAACACUGGAUUCAUAGUGGUCCUUUGUAAUAGCUUCAAUGCCGUUAAAAGACAGCUAAUAGUUGCAUUUGAGCUGAUCUUGCGACCUUACUUGUGUUAGAUUCCAGGAUACAGACAUGGAGGAUUCACAGUGCAACACAAACAAAGCCCAGGACCACGCACCCAAAA